UGAUGACGUUUUGUUGUUAUAGAAUGAGCAUCAUGCAUGCUUUCAUGUUAUUGAUUCAUAGUAGUUAUAAGUGUUGUAGUUACAAGGCGCCAAAAUUUUUAGUUGUGACAGUUAUUUCUAUGAAUUUUAGGGCGUUAUCAUACUAAAAAUAAUUUGANAGGGGUUAUCAUACUAAAAAUAAUUUGAAGAUAUAUUCUUUAAAUAAAAGGCAAUAAUUUGCAAUACUUUCACAUUUUAUGGAAAAAAACGACUAACGAUAAAAAAAUAGCAACAUACUUUGGAGAAGGAAUCUCAAAACAUGUUACUUAUAGAAUUUUUCAAAGUAGCUUUCUAUUUUUAAAGAAUUUUAAAUUUGGAAAUUUUGGUUACAUGGUUUUAUAUAUUUUUAUCUAAUAUAUUCUUGAUUUUAAUAUUUUCCUCAAUAUCAACUUACCUAGUUUUGUAGU
rnacentral:lncRNA from 1 species